GGCUCGGUAGUGGACGGUCCACACCCACAACUCAUACGAAAAAAAUCGACAUCGCAUCAAUGUGGGAGUCGCCCGUUCGACUCGGGCCUGAGCCA